rnacentral:tRNA from 1 species
GGACGUAGUUUAGCCUGGUAGAAUUACGGGCUCCAGACCCGUCGAUCAGGGUUCAAAUCCCUGCGUCCCCA